UGUGAGAGAGCAGAGGGGUGUGCGUACAACUCUAACAGAGCAGGCAUGAUCAUCUAUCUGUGCCCUGAUGUUUGUCAUAUGUCACUGCCUUGCUUAGGGUUCAGGAGAGUCCUCCAUGUACUGGGAAAGUUGUUAAGUGCUCCUGGCUACAUGCCAACAUUUCUCCCAGCGCUAUACAAGCUGAGAAGGCUAAUUAUAAUCUACAUAAGAUAUUUUCAUCUCAAGAACCUGCUUACCAUCCAUCCUGAAACCAGAGGCACCAAGCAUGUACAAGGACAAGUUCAUGUGUGGCCAUGAAGCUGUGCUCUCAACAUUCUUCAGCCACGCACAGCGUUGCUGGAGCAUGAAUUAUGACCAGCCUGGCAGGCAAGCAUCUUUCCACAAGCACAUCUUUUCUCAUUUGCGGUCACGGUCGUACCUCCAAUGGAGUUGCCGGGGUGAAAGAGCUCAGUAUUGGAAAACACUGGCAGCUUCUGCGUCUGCUGACCAAUCCCUUGCCGGAGAGUUUACCAGGCAGUUAAUUUAUGUUCUUUUCUCAACGCCAAGAUGAACAGGGGUUUUCUCUCCUUCCUGCUUGGUUGCAAACAUAGGGAAGUCCUGCUGCUGCUGACCUAACCCACUUAGGAUUCCGCUUUCAAGCACUAUUUCCAUUGUGCUAUAUUUGAACAAUAAAUUAUUGUUCAUCCUUUUUAAAAAUGGUGAACAACUUCC